rnacentral:rRNA from 13 species
CCUAGCGGCACUAGCGCGGUGGUCCCACCUGACCCCAUGCCGAACUCAGAAGUGAAACGCCGUAGCGCCGAUGGUAGUGUGGGGUCUCCCCAUGCGAGAGUAGGGAACUGCCAGGC